AAAGUUCUGCCGAGGUAGGUCUUAGCCAGACGCCUCGUAGCGAGUCUUGGGUCCGAACCGGUAACGGCAGGACCAAGCGUAGACAGCAAGCGUGCAGGGUGUGUAUUGGGCCACGUAAUCGGAUCGUCGCGGUCGCCUUGGCUGCUUCAAAAGUCGAAGGCAACACCGGGAUCUGCGCUAAAGGCGAGCAGGUUCUGGGCCGCCGGGGUCGGAGACCA
rnacentral:ncRNA from 1 species